ACUGUGUAAUUAGUUUAUUUUUUUAUCUAUAUUUAAUGUUCCAUGCAUGUGUCCAUGUGUCCAGAGAUUCGAUGGGAUGGAUGAAAAAUUUUUGGGUGGAGAACUAAACAGGGCCUUAGCUGCUGACGGUCUGCUUGCUUACUGUAGACUCUAGUUGAACACGGCAUGCUCGAUCGAUUUCAUGUGUUGCAGGGGUAUUAUUGGAGAAUCAACGGAAGAAUUCUCACCUGUUUUGUUUUGCUUGAGUCCCUGCUAUCACUACUUCCCAAGAUAUAUAUAUGCUCGAAUCUAGCCUAUAUAUUUUGGCCUUUUUUCUGAAAACAAUGUUCCAUCAAUGAACUAUAUCUAAAAAAACAAUUGCUGGACUUGACCACUAUAUACUGCAUCCACAACCUAAGCAUGAAUCCUAUAUAUAGACAUAUUUCUAGAAAUAAUUCUUGGCGAUAUAAAUCUUUCUUGAAAUAUUAUGAUCUCUCUUUUUGUUCUUGUUCCAUAUUCUCAGGGUAUGCACUGGUAUAAGAAAACUGGUGCUAGAUUUAUUACAUCUUAUUCCUGAGGUAAAAAUAUUUUUUUAUCUAAUAGGCUCUUUAAUUAGAACUUAAUACAACUUUGUAUGGUGCUGGUGCAGUGGGUGCUAAGCUAGUAGGUCACAGAUCUUGUAAAUUACUAUAACAUGCAUUGAUCUAGCGUGGCUAAAAAUGUAUGCUUUUCAUGUUGGUGACCAGAGCCUCAUAUAUAAUAUAUAGAUUGUGCUUGCUUACCAAUGCACAUGCUCUGGCUAUUUCUUUUAUUUUGCCAUCGCCUCUUAGUAUUGCUUCUUAGUUCUUAACGGAGUGCAAAUUGGAUGUGUAAUCGUUGAUAGACCUUUCAAUGAGUUCCAAUGUUUAAAUAUGAUAAUGGUACUCAAUACAUGUCUUCUGAUGGAAACAUGUCUAUAGUUUUGGAGUUUGCUUGCACAGCUAUAUGGUAAUGUACAGUACAAGUAGGCUAAGUUCUUGCUGUAAAGGGCAAUCUUGAUAGCACAAUGACCUUCAAAUAGUACGCCUCCAUAUGCUUUCCAGUCUUAUCCAUCUUUCUGCCGUCAUGCGCCACCUCUCACUGCCGCAUCCUAAUGCCUUGCAUCCCAAAGGCACGAUGCAGCGUGCUCCACUGAUGUGCAGAGCUGGGCAGCCAUGGCGCCCAGGCAAGCCAAGGAGGCCCGAGCAUGCUGAUGUGUGGGGAUUUGGACUCCAGCAACAACCCUCCGUAAUCUGAAAGAUAUUGCGUCCAAAAUAAUGGCCUUUUCUCAACAAGGCCCGCACACUACAUGCAUAAUUUCAGCAAACGACGCUCUGUGCACGGCGACACUGCGUCAACCAGCAAACUCUGGUGGGAUAGUGACAUAUGAGAUAUUGGAUGAUCAAGAUGUCUUCUUUGCCAAUUUGCUAGGUGGCUGUCUUGGUUGCAUUGUCAAAUCUGCAACUCGAGCUAAGGGAGAUAUGGGGCUGCAGCGACAAAGGCAAGGCUGUUGCCUGUGCUUUGUCCAAUGUUACUCCUUUUAGUAAAUGUUUAGCUAGUACUCUCAGUUUUGUGGUUGUGCAAAGAGUUUGUUAUGUUGAUGCCAAAUAUUUGGAGAAGAUUUGGGUAGAUGGGUGCCAAAAGUCUACGCGCCUUGUGUACUUUGUUGUUAUGUUGAUGCAACACUAGGAUAUAUUUGUAUUUAGUGGAUUCAUGUUGGACUACUAAUAAUAUAUAUAAUCGUGUGUAUUAGGUCA